rnacentral:misc_RNA from 1 species
GAGGACUCCUCAAUCUCAGACAUAUUGGCAAGAGAAGCACACUGAAAUAUUGCUCAGAAAUACGUUAGAAAAGCCUAUUGUAUGAAGAGGUAGUGACAAAAAGGUGAGAAAUAGGCGACGAGACCAGCGUGGUUGAGUUCGCCUGAGGCCAGCGAGUCGACGGGAAGAAGCGUGUGAAGGUGCGUGUACUGGAGUCUUUCGCCGACGGUCAGUGGAGAGGCCGAUCCUGUGCUUGAUA